GCCUGGGUGGCUCAGUCGGUUAAGUGUCUGACUUCAGCUCAGGUCAUGAUCGCAGGGUCCUGGGGUUGGACCUGCCUCGGGUU
rnacentral:tRNA from 1 species